GGAGGUGAAUAUCUGUAUACUGUACUUUGAUACAUUUGACAAGAAUGAAAGAGUUCAAGAAUGGAUAUUGUGUUCUAAGAAAUAAAGAAAUGAGGGUGUUUUCAGCACUAAAACUAGGAUGGCUCAUGGACUAAGUCGAGGAAAUUGUGCAUCACAUCCAGAUUUCAGGGGGAUGAACCAUCAAUGCCUAGGAAAGACUGGACUACAAUGGAUGCAUUCACACGUGGAAACUGAAAGUAGCUGAGCCAGCUGUGAUGUGAACAUCUUUUGAGGAAGAAAAAGAUUUAAGUAACUGCACAACGUCAUUCAACUGCGAGUGGUAGGAGCCCUCUGUCU